rnacentral:rRNA from 1 species
GGGCCCGCACAAGCGGUGGAGCAUGUGGUUUAAUUCGAUGCAACGCGAAGAACCUUACCUACUCUUGACAUCCAUAGAACUUAGCAGAGAUGCUUUGGUGCCUUCGGGAGCUAUGAGACAGGUGCUGCAUGGCUGUCGUCAGCUCGUGUUGUGAAAUGUUGGGUUAAGUCCCGCAACGAGCGCAACCCUUAUCCUUGUUUGCCAGCACUUCGGGUGGGAACUUCAGGGAGACUGCCGGUGAUAAACCGGAGGAAGGUGGGGAUGACGUCAAGUCAUCAUGGCCCUUACGAGUAGGGCUACACACGUGCUACAAUGGCGUAUACAGAGGGCAGCCAGCUUGUGAGAGUGAGCGAAUCCCAGAAAGUGCGUCGCAGUCCGGAUUGGAGUCUGCAACUCGACUCCAUGAAGAUGGAAUCGCUAGUAA